AGUGGAUGGGGAGCAACCUAGUUGUGCGUGUGUAAAGGUAGUGCCAAGAAAAGCGAUGAUCAUGUUGAAAAUCAAUUCCCGGUACCCGAAACCGACACAGGUGGGCAAGUAGAGAAUACUAAGGGGCGCGAGGUAACUCUCUCCAAGGAACUCGGCAAAAUGACCCCGUAACUUAGGGAGAAGGGGUGCCACCGAGAGGUGGUCGCAGUGAAGAGGCCCAGGCGACUGUUUAGCAAAAACAUAGGUCUCUGCAAACUCGAAAGAGGAGGUAUAGGGGCUGACGCCUGCCCAGUGCCGGAAGGUUAAAGAAGUUGGUCAGUUUUAGGAUGAAGCUAGCGACUGAAGCCCCGGUGAACGGCGGCCGUAACUAUAACGGUCCUAAGGUAGCGAAAUUCCUUGUCGGGUAAGUUCCGACCCGCACGAAAGGCGUAACGAUCUGGGCGCUGUCUCGGAGAGAGGCUCGGCGAAAUAGGAUUGUCUGUGAAGAUACGGACUACCUGCAUUUGGACAGAAAGACCCUAUGAAGCUUUACUAUAGCUUGGAAUUGUGUUCGGGCUUCCUGUGCGCAGGAUAGGUGGGAGGCGUAGAAGGUAUUCUUGUGGGGAUACUGGAGCCAACGGUGAGAUACCACUCUCAGGAGGCUAGAAUUCUAACUUAAUUAAGGACAGUUUCAGGUGGGUUUUGACUGGGGCGGUCGCCUCCAAAAAGGUAACGGAGGCGUACAAAGGUUCCCUCAGACUGGUUGGAAAUCAGUCGAAGAGUGCAAAGGCAGAAGGGAGCUUGACUGCGAGAAGUACAGUUCGAGCAGGGUGGAAACACGGUCUUAGUGAUCCGACGGUGCUGUGUGGAAGGGCCGUCGCUCAACGGAUAAAAGUUACUCUAAGGAUAACAGGCUGAUCUCCCCCAAGAGUUCACAUCGACGGGGAGGUUUGGCACCUCGAUGUCGGCUCAUCGCAAUCUGGGGCGGAAGUACGUCCCAAGGGUUGGGCUGUUCGCCCAUUAAAGCGGUACGUGAGCUGGGUUCAGAACGUCGUGAGACAGUUCGGUCCAUAUCCGAUGUAGGCGUGAGAAUAUUGAGAGGAGCCUUCCUUAGUACGAGAGGACCGGGAAGGACGCACCGCUGGUGUACCUGUUAUGAUGCCAAUUGUAAACGCAGGGUAGCCAAGUGCGGAGAGGAUAACCGCUGAAAGCAUCUAAGUGGGAAGCCCACCUCAAGAUGAGUAUUCUGGUGUAAGGUCACGGGAAGACGACCCGUAAAUAGGCACGAGGUGGAAGUGCAGAGAUGUAUGAAGCCGAAGUGUACUAAUAGACCGUCGGCUUGACC
rnacentral:rRNA from 1 species